CUCCGUGGUAGAUGGAAGUGAAAAAUAUACAAGUUAUGGUCCCUCUAUAUCGUACGAAAAAAUCAGUUUGACUGGAAUGGACGCUACCCAUGUAGCCGCAGUAGGAGAUUUAAAAAUAUUCGACAAAAUUUUGCGUUGAGGCAUUUUUAUACUUCAAAGGAGCUGCGAUAAUGACGGAGGCGUUAGUGGGCCUAGGAGUUGCGUCACCAACGCAUGACACUUUUAUAUACUUUUGUAUAUGUGGUUUUGCUUACAAUAUUUUGCAGAUUUUUGAAAAUGAAUUUAUUGUUAUAUUAUUAUUUCUUUGUAUGCUAUAUAAACCAUGUACCUGCUCUAUGUAAAAAUAUUGAAAUAAAGACUGAAUCUUAAUAAUGUUUGUAUGUAUGUAUAUAUGUAGGGAAAACGUUUUGUCAAAGCUGAUUUCCUUCGGCAUCAGUACUGUCACUCAUCUGUAUUCAGUUUGUACGGCACUGCUGAUGUUUUUUUACGUCCAUAUUGUUUUC